UACCAGCACCCCGAGUGGUCGGGACGAUUAUUGGGCCUAAAGCAUCCGUAGCCGGUCAUGCAAGUCCUCCGUUAAAUCCACCUGCUUAACAGAUGGGCUGCGGAGGAUACUACAAGGCUAGGAGGCGGAAGAGGCAAGCGGUACUCAGUGGGUAGGGGUAAAAUCCGUUGAUCCAUAGAAGACCACCAGUGGCGAAGGCGGCUUGCCAGAACGCGCUCGACGGUGAGGGAUGAAAGCUGGGGGAGCAAACCGG
rnacentral:rRNA from 1 species